UUCCCUUUUGAGAGGAGCCACGCGUGAGGAAAGUCCGGGCAACAAAGAGCACCAUGCUUCCUAACGGGAAGGUGCGGGUAACCGCACAGACAACGUGACAGAAAAUAACCGCCCCAUUUAUGGCGGGGGAGCUCCCCGAAAGGGUUGAGCGCAUGCACCCCACCGGGGUAAGGGUGAAAAGGCGGGGUAAGAGCCCACCGACGCCAUUGCGAGAUGGCGUGCCGCACGUCUGAUGGGUUGCAAGGUCAAGUAUACCGGCAACGGUCGGCGUAAGCCGUCCAAAUGGGCUGCUCGCUCAUUGCCGGGGGGUAGACCGCUUGAGCCCGCGGGCAACCGCGCGGCGUAGAUAAAUGACGGGGCGGCACGGCGCGACAGCCUUCGCGGCAGUCGGAGCCUCAUUGAAAUAGUGCCGACAUAACCCGGCUUAUAGCCCGGCCGC
rnacentral:RNase_P_RNA from 1 species